rnacentral:rRNA from 1 species
GUAACACUAACUGGAGGACCGAACCGACUAAUGUUGAAAAAUUAGCGGAUGACCUGUGGCUGGGGGUGAAAGGCCAAUCAAACCGGGAGAUAGCUGGUUCUCCCCGAAAGCUAUUUAGGUAGCGCCUCGUGAAUUCAUCUCCGGGGGUAGAGCACUGUUUCGGCUAGGGGGCCAUCCCGGCUUACCAACCCGAUGCAAACUGCGAAUACCGGAGAAUGUUAUCACGGGAGACACACGGCGGGUGCUAACGUCCGUCGUGAAGAGGGAAACAACCCAGACCGCCAGCUAAGGUCCCAAAGUCAUGGUUAAGUGGGAAACGAUGUGGGAAGGCCCAGACAGCCAGGAUGUUGGCUUAGAAGCAGCCAUCAUUUAAAGAAAGCGUAAUAGCUCACUGGUCGAGUCGGCCUGCGCGGAAGAUGUAACGGGGCUAAACCAUGCACCGAAGCUGCGGCAGCGACACUCAGGUGUUGUUGGGUAGGGGAGCGUUCUGUAAGCCUGCGAAGGUGGCCUGUGAGGGUUGCUGGAGGUAUCAGAAGUGCGAAUGCUGACAUAAGUAACGAUAAAGCGGGUGAAAAGCCCGCUCGCCGGAAGACCAAGGGUUCCUGUCCAACGUUAAUCGGGGCAGGGUGAGUCGACCCCUAAGGCGAGGCCGAAAGGCGUAGUCGAUGGGAAACGGGUUAAUAUUCCCGUACUUGGUGUUACUGCGAAGGGGGGACGGAGAAGGCUAUGUUGGCCGGGCGACGGUUGUCCCGGUUUAAGCGUGUAGGUGUGUGUUCCAGGUAAAUCCGGUUCACUUUAACACUGAGGCGUGAUGACGAGGCACUACGGUGCUGAAGCAACAAAUGCCCUGCUUCCAGGAAAAGCCUCUAAGCAUCAGGUAACAUCAAAUCGUACCCCAAACCGACACAGGUGGUCAGGUAGAGAAUACCAAGGCGCUUGAGAGAACUCGGGUGAAGGAACUAGGCAAAAUGGUGCCGUAACUUCGGGAGAAGGCACGCUGACAC